GACGAACGCUGGCGGCGUGCUUAACACAUGCAAGUCGAACGGUGAAGCCCUUCGGGGUGGAUCAGUGGCGAACGGGUGAGUAACACGUGGGAAAUCUGCCCUGCACUCUGGGACAAGCCUUGGAAACGAGGUCUAAUACCGGAUAUGACCUUCUCCUGCAUGGGGGUUGGUGGAAAGCUCCGGCGGUGCAGGAUGAUCCCGCGGCCUAUCAGCUUGUUGGUGGGGUAAUGGCCUACCAAGGCGACGACGGGUAGCCGGCCUGAGAGGGCGACCGGCCACACUGGGACUGAGACACGGCCCAGACUCCUACGGGAGGCAGCAGUGGGGAAUAUUGCACAAUGGGCGAAAGCCUGAUGCAGCGACGCCGCGUGAGGGAUGACGGCCUUCGGGUUGUAAACCUCUUUCAGCAGGGAAGAAGCGCAAGUGACGGUACCUGCAGAAGAAGCACCGGCUAACUACGUGCCAGCAGCCGCCGUAAAAC
rnacentral:rRNA from 1 species